UCUGAGCCUCAGCUUGCUCAUCUGUGAAACGGGAAGAGUCAUGUGGCAAUGCCCGGGUUUUUGCAAGAUCUAGACGUGUUGUCGCUGACCAGCAGCUGUCAUCCCUUAUGUGACCCUGCUCCCAGGUAACAGUGUGUGUGCAGGGAUGAACUCAUAACCUCCCUGGCCAACUGUGCCUUUCCUUGGACACUACUGAGUUGGGCCUCACCAGGAGGAGUGGUUUCUUCUGUGGGCAAAGCUGUGAAGGCAAGAGUCUGGAAACUGAGAGAAGCCAUCUUCCUCCACCACAUGGAGAAGAUGCUGUGUGAUAAGAAUCGGGACCACAAACUGGGAAGCAGCUCUGAGGGGCAGAGAGAUCCUCAAUGCACUUGAGUUCCUGAUUCCAGUUCUAGAAGAGAGAAAGAGAAUGAUGGGAUUUGGACGUUAGUCACACUUUGUUCUACCACUUCCUGACUAUAAAGGAUAUUGGCAGUGAUCAGAGGUCCCAAGAUGGCUGAAUAGGAACAGCUCCAGUCUACACCUCCC
rnacentral:lncRNA from 1 species